UACGUAGGGACCGAGCGUUGUCCGGAAUCAUUGGGCGUAAAGAGCGUGUAGGCGGCCUUUUAAGUCCUGCGUGAAAUCCUACGGCUCAACCGCAGACGGUCGUGGGAAACUGGAAGGCUAGAGUGCGGGAGAGGAGAGUGGAAUUCCCGGUGUAGCGGUGAAAUGCGCAGAUAUCGGGAAGAACACCCGUGGCGAAGGCGGCUCUCUGGAACGCAACUGACGCUGAGACGCGAAAGCGUGGGGAGCAAACAGG
rnacentral:rRNA from 1 species